rnacentral:rRNA from 1 species
GACCCCGAGUGCCCGUAAAAUCGGGCUGUUAACCUGUUUAAAAAGCACGUGGAGAAAGGGCCGGGCAAGACCGGUGCCAGCCGCCGCGGUAAUACCGGCGGCUCGAGUGGUGGCCACUAUUACUGGGCUUAAAGCGUCCGUAGCUGGAUUGUUAAGUCUCUUGGGAAAUCUACCGGCUUAACCGAUAGGCGUUCAAGGGAUACUGGCAAUCUAGGGACCGGGAGAGGUGAGAGGUACUCCAGGGGUAGGAGUGAAAUCCUGUAAUCCUUGGGGGACCACCUGUGGCGAAGGCGUCUCACCAGAACGGCUCCGACAGUGAGGGACGAAAGCUGGGGGAGCAAACCGGAUUAGAUACCCGGGUAGUCCCAGCUGUAAACGAUGCGCGUUAGGUGUAUCGGUGACCA